AGGAAAGUCGAUCCUCGCGUCGAGCCCGUCGUUUUGAGACCUGGAUGAGGAGCCUAAAGAGCAUGAAUCUGAUGAGGAGAUCCUUGUUGAGGAACCCGAAGAGGAGUACGUGGAGGAGAACCCCGAGGAUCAUCCGGAGUAGGAUUCUGAUGACGAUUGUUAUAAAAUCAAUUUGAGUAGAAACCAAUCGAUUUAGUAUGGCUUGUAUAUGAGCAUAAGGGUGUUGGUUUUCAGGUUCAAUUUCCUAGUCCUACUUGUAUAUCUCAUUGCUUUAUUGUUUGGGGAUUUUAUGACUGCUUCCGCAUGUGCAUAUAUAAAUGAAAGGGUCGGCGAUACAUA